CAAUAGCGUAUAUUAAAGGUGUUGCAGUUAAAAAGCUCGUAGUUGGAUUUCUGGUAGGAGUGACCGUUCCGAACUUGAUUGUUCGUGUAUUGUGUUUUCUCCAGCCAUCCUUGUGGAGAACUUUUCUUGCAUUAAUUUGUAGGGAUUGGGACCCGCAUCGUUUACUGUGAAAAAAUUAGAGUGUUUAAAGCAGGCAAUCGCUUGAAUACAUUAGCAUGGAAUAAUAAGAUAGGACUUUGGUACUAUUUUGUUGGUUUGCAUACCAAAUUAAUGAUCAACAGGAACAGUUUGAGGAUAUUCGUAUGAACAUGUCAGAGGUGAAAUUCUUGGAUUUUGAUCAGACGAACUACUGCGAAAGCAUUUAUCAAGGAUGUUUUCAUUAA
rnacentral:rRNA from 1 species